rnacentral:rRNA from 1 species
UACAGAGGGUGCGAGCGUUAAUCGGAAUUACUGGGCGUAAAGCGCACGUAGGUGGCGACGUAAGUCGGGUGUGAAAGCCCCGGGCUCAACCUGGGAAUGGCAUUUGAAACUGGCGAGCUAGAGUGUGAUAGAGGAUGGCGGAAUUCCCGGUGUAGCGGUGAAAUGCGUAGAGAUCGGGAGGAACAUCCGUGGCGAAGGCGGCCAUCUGGAUCAACACUGACGCUGAGGCACGAAAGCGUGGGGAGCAAACAGG